CAGCCGUAAACUAUGCGCGUUAGGUGUAUCGGUGACCACGGGUUACCGAGGUGCCGAAGGGAAACCGUGAAACGUGCCGCCUGGGAAGUACGGUCGCAAGGCUGAAACUUAAAGGAAUUGGCGGGGGAGCACCACAACAGGUGGAGCCUGCGGUUUAAUUGGACUCAACGCCGGGAAGCUCACCGGAUAGGACAGCAAUAUGUAGGCCAGGCUGAAGACCUUGCCUGAAUCGCUGAGAGGAGGUGCAUGGCGUAGACGUCU
rnacentral:rRNA from 1 species